CCACCUCCCACCGUCUAUCCUACUCCCUUUUGGAUUUGUCCACGUGUCCUUUAUAGAUGUUCCUUGACGACCUUUCUCCUUAUUUCCCAUGUUAUCCACCUCCUCACUCUUGAGUGGGAAAAUAGGGGAGUAAAUUCUUUCCACUUGUAUUUUUCUACUAUCAAGAUUCUAGACAAAAUGUAUGUAGUCAAGAAUGGGUGAGGAGAGCAGUCAAAGUUCAUUUGUAAAGAAUUCCUUUAAAAGAAAGUUUCUCCAUAGACCCAUGUUUUAAUAGAUAUCUCUCUACUAAGCAAAUGUAUUUAUUACAUAAUUACUUAUUUUCCCACUUUUACUAAGCAAAGAUGUGUAAUAGAUUAUUAGAAAUUCUAAUUAGAAUGCACUAAGGUAACUUAAUCAUUUCAGCUAAAGCAGAGAAAACUGGGAUGCUACUUAGGAAUGAUUUCAUUAGUGUUCUCUCAAAAUCACUUGGUAUUUGAAAGAAAUAUAGAUUUUCAGGCUCCUCACCAAACACUGUAAAAUAUAAUCUCAGCUUGGGAUACAGAAAUUUUCAUUUUUAAGUAAAUACUGUCUUCUUUCUUCAGGUGGUUCUGACUGUUCCUUGAACCACACUUUGAAAGUACUAUACUAGAAAUUUUGAAAUUUUGAAAAUGGCUUCCAGACCUCCCUCUGAACUGACUUCACAGAUCUGGUGCCUUCAGGUUGGGAAUCUCUGGAAGGGUGGGUAAUUGCAAACUCAAUUCAGCUGUUCAGCCUUAGGCAGUACUUCAAUCGAAGCUCAAGAACCUAUGACUAAGUUGACCUUUUGUCGUAUCUCUUUUCCUCCCUGUUUAUUUAAGUUACCAUCUUAACUGGCUCGUGAAGUCAAAAGUGCUUUUGUUCUCUGCAUGAAUGGUUUGAUUCACAUCACACCACUACAGCUUCAAAGGAAAAAAGUCUCUUACCUUUGGAUAAUCUCUCCCUCUCCCUAUAAAUGCCACAAGCCAGCUAAAGGAUUUUAAAGAUCUUUCAUUUUAAAUAUUUCAGACUCUUCAGAUCACUGCUCUUUUCUUUCCUUCUUAGAAGAAAUAGGACCAAAAGAAAUAGUACCGACUUAGAGUAUUUUUAACAAAGAUCACUUGCCCGAGUUUGAAUGAUCAAGAAGUGGCAAAUUCUGACUACCUUCUGUGUUCCCAUUAAUGCUUCUUACCUUCGAAUCAGAUUGGUUUGGUCCCCUUAGGAUAUGGAGCCUUGGAAUAGGCCUGCGAACUGUUAUGUAAUUUGUUCACCAAAGACAAAGCCCAGAGGAAAGGCACAUUUAAUUUCUAGCUAGCUUAGUGAAUAUCAGGUAUUGGUACCCAUCAAAUAUUCUACUUUUCACCCCUUACCCUAAGCCCCAGGGUUUUUCUACAGAGGAAAUCAGAAGUCUUAGAGAGGAAAUUAAAAAGCAAAACAAAAAGAAUAUAUAAAAUACAUUGAAGUGGAGGGAUGUCAGGUAGGAAAGUGACACCCACUGAUAAUACACAAGGUCUGUCCAGAAAAUGUCUGAUCAUUGUUAAU